UACGUAGGGUGCAAGCGUUAAUCGGAAUUACUGGGCGUAAAGCGUGCGCAGGCGGUUAUGCAAGACAGAUGUGAAAUCCCCGGGCUCAACCUGGGAACUGCAUUUGUGACUGGCGGGCUAGAGUAUGGCAGAGGGGGGUAGAAUUCCACGUGUAGCAGUGAAAUGCGUAGAGAUGUGGAGGAAUACCGAUGGCGAAGGCAGCCCCCUGGGCCAAUACUGACGCUCAUGCACGAAAGCGUGGGGAGCAAACAGG
rnacentral:rRNA from 1 species